UCACCCCUCUGGGGCAAACCAUUCCAGUGUCUGACCACCCUUUCAGAGAAGUAGGAUUUCCUAACAUCCAGCCUGAACCUUCCCUGGCGCAGCUUGAAGCCAUUCCCUCUAGUCCUAUCACCAGUCACACGAGAGAAGAGGCUGACCCCCAGCUCACUACAACCUCCCUUCAGGUAGUUAUAGAGAACAGUAAGGUCUCCCCUGAGCCUCCUCUUCUCCAGACUGAACAAUCCCAGCUCCCUCAGCCGCUCCUCAUAAGACCUGUGCUCCAGAUCCCUCACCAGCUUUGUUGCCCUCCUCUGGACACGCUCCAGGGCCUCAAUGUCUUUCUUGCAGUGAGGGGCCCAAAACUGGACACAGUACUCAAGGUGCGGCCUCACCAGGGCUGAGUACAGGGGGACAAUUACUUCCCUGUUCCUGCUGGCAACACUGUUUCUGAUGCAAGCCAGGAUGCCACUGGCCUUCUUGGCCACCUGGGCACACUGCUGGCUCAUGUUCAGUCUAGUAUCAAUCAACACCCCAGGUCCAUUUCCUCUACGCAGUCUUCCAGCCACUCUGCCCCAAGCCUGUAGCAUUGCCUGGGGUUGUUGUGGCCAAAGUGCAGGACCCGGCAUUUGUUCUUGUAGAAUCCCAUCCCACUGGCUUCAGCCCAGCUAUCCAGCCUAUCCAGAUCCCCCUGUAGGGCCUCAGGCAGAUCGACACUUCCAGCCAGCUUGGUGUCAUCUGCAAACUUAGUGAGGGUGCACUCAAUGCCCUCAUCCAGGUCAUCAAUAAAGAUAUUAAACAAUAUCUUAUUGAAAAUAAAGGUGGUCCAAGAAUAUAAACCUUCUGAAAUACACACCACAUUAGAUAGACUCAUAUUCUCAUUCUAUUGCCUUCAGAUGAGGAAACAGACAGGAUUAUCAGAUGUGGAACCUUACAUUGAAGAAGUAUUGUGAACAGAGUAAAAUGGGCAGACCAUUUCCAGUUUUACUAUUUAUGAGGUUUUCCAGAGAUGUACAUAGCAGGAAUCUUUUUUUUUUUUUUUUUUUGGUUGUGGUUUUGGCAAAGAAAUAACCUUUGUAUGCAAUCUUCUUCUCAACGAAAGUGUAUUUCCCAUACCACUUAAAACCUACAAUCCAU
ensembl:lncRNA